rnacentral:rRNA from 1 species
CGCGGCCUAUCAGCUUGUUGGUGGGGUAACGGCUCACCAAGGCAACGAUGGGUAUCCGGCCUGAGAGGGUGAACGGACACACUGGCACUGAGACACGGGCCAGACUCCUACGGGAGGCAGCAGUGGGGAAUUUUGCGCAAUGGGGGAAACCCUGACGCAGCAACGCCGCGUGAGUGAUGAAGGCCUUCGGGUCGUAAAGCUCUUUUAGUGGGGAAGAAACUCCCUGGGACGAAUAAUUCCAGGGCUUGACGGUACCCGCAGAAAAAGUUCCGGCUAACUACCUGCCGGCCCCCGCGGUAAUACGUAUGGAGGGAGCGUUGUUCGGAAUCAUUGGGCGUAAAGAGCUCGUAUGCGGUUCGGUAAGUCAGGUGUGAAAAUGCAAGGCUCAACCUUGGGACGCCACCCGAUACUGCUGUGACUCGAGUGCGGUAGGGGAGCGGGGAAUCCCUGGUGUAGCGGUGAAAUGCGCAGAUAUCAGGAGGAACACCAGUGGCGAAGGCGCCGCUCUGGGCCGUAACUGACGCUGAAGAGCGAAAGCGUGGGUAGCAAACAGGAUUAGAUACCCUGGUAGUCCACGCCGUAAACGUUGGGCACUACGUGUGGGUCUCAACCAACGAGAUCCGCGCCGUCGCUAACGCAUUAAGUGCCCCGCCUGGUGA